rnacentral:rRNA from 1 species
UACAGAGGGUGCGAGCGUUGUUCGGAAUUACUGGGCGUAAAGCGCGUGUAGGCGGCAGCGUGUGUCGGGCGUGAAAUCCCACGGCUCAACCGUGGAAGUGCACUCGAAACUGCGCAGCUAGAGUCCUGGAGAGGAAGGUGGAAUGCUUGGUGUAGAGGUGAAAUUCGUAGAUAUCAAGCGGAACACCGGUGGCGAAGGCGACCUUCUGGACAGUGACUGACGCUGAGACGCGAAAGCGUGGGGAGCAAACAGG